rnacentral:rRNA from 1 species
AAAGCGAGGCGGCGACGCGGAGCGAAUCCCAAAAAUCGCGCCCCAGUUCGGAUUGUAGUCUGCAACCCGACUACAUGAAGCCGGAAUCGCUAGUAAUCGCGGAUCAGAAUGCCGCGGUGAAUACGUUCCCGGGUCUUGUACACACCGCCCGUCACACCAUGGGAGUCGGGAAUGCCCGAAGUCAGUGACCCAACCUUAGGGAGGGAGCUGCCGAAGGCAGGCCUGGUGACUGGGGUGAAGUCGUAACAAGGUACC